ensembl:miRNA bta-mir-124b bta-mir-124b
UGAGGGCCCCUCUGCGUGUUCACAGCGGACCUUGAUUUAAUGUCUAUACAAUUAAGGCACGCGGUGAAUGCCAAGAGAGGCGCCUCC